UACGGAGGGUGCAAGCGUUGUUCGGAAUUACUGGGCGUAAAGGGCUCGUAGGCGGCCAACUAAGUCAGACGUGAAAUCCCUCGGCUUAACCGGGGAACUGCGUCUGAUACUGGAUGGCUAGAGGUUGGGAGAGGGAUGCGGAAUUCCAGGUGGAGCGGUGAAAUGCGUAGAGAUCUGGAAGAACACCAAAGGCGAAGGCAGCGUCCUGGGAAGUGACUGACGCUCAUGUGCGAAAGCUAGGGGAGCGAACGGG
rnacentral:rRNA from 1 species